rnacentral:misc_RNA from 1 species
CAAUCAGGCUUCUCGGAAAGCGUUCCUCCGUCCGACGUCGGGUAGUUGGUCCCGACACCUCGGCUAUCUUUUCCUCGCCGACCCUUCUCUGCUCUCCCACGUCUCGGGCGCUGGCCUGCUGUUGUUCUGUUGCUGUACGAGUUGCAUAGCAUCAAGCAAAGUCUAAGAGUAACGCCCCUUUUACAUCUGUUCUACAGACGGAUAAAGUAUAUAUAUAUAUAUAUAUAGCUGGCAACCCCGCCUAAAAGCUUGUUCGCCCCAUUGGCGUGCAGCCAUGAAGGAGUACACACGUGAGGAAGUAGCGAUGCAUUGCACUUCGCAGGACUACUGGGUCAUCGUGGACAGGCAUGUCUAUCACUUGGAUGCCGAGUUUGUUACGACACUGCACCCUGGUGGGCUGAUUAUUUUGGAGUCGGCCGGCAAGGACGGGUCGGUGAUGUUUCACGAGCACCACAAUUUGGAACGGGUGAGGCCCAUUCUGGAGGAGUACUGCAUUGGUAAACUCAAGAAGUAACGCAGCUGCGUUUUUGAGCACGGCGAACGCUCGCGGUGUCGCGAUGGUAGGUUUGCCUGGCGGAUGAGCGAGAGCGGAUGUGAGCGCUUGGAUGUCUGUGUUGGCAAGAGCGUCUACACUCCCUCUGCAGUGGAGGGAGGCUGGGCAUGUUUCCCAAAAGAGUUCGUUCCUUGCUGUCUUGCGUAUUUAUUCUCUUCUCCCGCCCUGUCAGUGCUCGUUCGCCUGCUCUUGUACUGCUCUUGCGGUGUCUUGGACAGCGCGAAGGCGGGGCGUUUCGCGGCAAAAAGAAAGAGACGACGACUCACGUCCGGUUGGCUGGUGGGGCCGCUCUUCGAAGAGACUUUAUUUCUUUACCAUUCACACGUGGCGUCCCCUAAACGAGGGGUACGCGCACUUGCUGCUCUGUGAAUCGGUGUCGACCUACUGCCCGAGCAAUUCAUGAAAAGGAGCCGCACGCGCGCGCUCUGUCGUGUCUUGGACCACUCCCCCCACGCCCUUUUUACACAUCCAUCGACAGUCCAGCAUGUACACGCGCACACGUCAUUUUCUUCUCAUUCCUUGGCUGCACCGCCCUUUUUCCUCUCCUGCCACGCCGAUAACUGCUCGCUUGCUCGCACGCGCAUACACAUCGGCACCCAAACUCACGCAUAUAUGGACACAUGUUGGCGCGCACGCCAUAUUGCACAUCCUUCAG